UCAAUGAAACUUGAUUUGUAAUAGUUUCUUUACCUCCCAAUAAUAUGUUGUGAAAAUUGACCAAAUCGCUUCACAACCACGCCUACUUCCUAUAUACCAGAACUUAGAAGAUAUCGGUGCUUCUAACCUAAUAUUAGGGUUUCCAACUUUCAAUGGACUUUAUACAAUAUAUAUGACGAAUAUGUGGGUCAAAUUGUGUAUUAUAUAAUAUUAAUAAAGUUAAAUAAAUAAAUUGCGAGAGUAUAAAAUGUUCGGUUACACCCUUGUUAUAUAUAUAAACCUAUAUCUAACUCGUUUAGUUUUAUGACUUACAAACAACCGUUAUGUGAACAAAACUAUAAUACUAAUUUAGCAACUUUUGUUGCGAGAGUAUAAAAAUGGUUGAGUAUUGUCUUGAAUUAAGGGACAAAAUAUUGUUUUAACGCAGUGGGCGCCUUACUCACCGGACAUCAAUAUGUAUAAUAGAAAACGUGUGGAUAUCAAUGGCUGUGAAAGUAUACAGGUCUCGCAGGCAAUAUUGCACUAAAUAAGAAUAAAUUGAAAUCAUUAAAAAGCCUUGGUCAUUAAUUUCCUGAAAUUAUAUUAGAAAUUUGUACGAAUUUGUACCCAAUCGGUUUUCUGAUGUAAUUUUCAGUGAUGUGUGAUCGACACACUCUUAAAAAACUAUAUAAAUGUUUAAAUCACUUAAUACAAAAAUUAAAAAAUAUGAUCUUGGAAGAAAAUGUUAAACAAAAUUAUAAAAACGGAUAUGUGCUAAAAUGAUGAGCAAAUUUAAAUCUCUAUUUUUCUAUUGAUUUGGUAAAAAAGAUUUAAAAAAGAUAAAAUUAAAAUUCUUGUUUUAUUUAGUAGAAAAUUUAUUCAUUAAUAAUACCUAAAAAUUUCACAUUUGUAGCAGAAAUUAACUAAAACUACUUGAUCCAGAGGUGUGCUAACCUGAUGACGUGAGGGAUCUUGAAAACUUAAUUACUUAUGAAAACUUAUGGAUCGAUUUCGACGAUGCCUAUCUUUAAAUGCAGUAUUUUUGCAAAGUUAUGUUUCGAUAUCUUCACUAGUGCUAACUUCAUAUAUUGUAAAGAAAACGAUUCAGAUCGACUUCAAAGUUCUGGUAUAUGCAAAUGCCAAACAUACGUUACAUUCGUAAUUUGAGCUACAAGCAUAAAGAAGUCGCAUUAUUUGGAAAUGGAUGGACCAAAAAUAAGACAACAAACUCAACCAAAGCAAUUUGAAAUUAUCGUGGAUUUCAUUUAUCGGAAAGAUCGGUUAAAACACCAAAAGUACCUCUAAUAAUUUAUGGAACAAUUUAGUUUCCCAAUUAAACGCAACCGGGCCACCAUUGCUCGACAUUGCGGGGUGGGAAAAGGUAAUUCCAAUAAUUGCACAGACAAAUUAUAAAUGUGAUUAAAUGCAAUCAAUUAAAGCUUUGGUCAGCCUAUAAGAUUCACUUAAAGGCAAAAAUGCGACGAAACAAAAAAAUAUUUCGUGCACUGGAGGUGGUCUCUUACUUUGUAUACCCUUAUCACAGUUAGAGCAGCAAGUGAGUGAGUUUUUGUAAAUAGAGAGUGCAGCGACAAGCAGCUACCGAACCAAAAAUACAAACCAGUGAACUACCACAAUGUUACAAAGUGGCAUGCACAUCCCAAAACAGCAGACUAAAUUUAAUACGCCGGAAAAUGAACUACCACAAUGUUCAAAUGUGACAUACCCACCGCAUAAAAAUCAGCAGACUCAGCACGAAACCCGAAAAAUGGAUAAAUUAUAAAAAAACGGAAACAAUUUCCAUAUAAACAAAAAAACACAAAUUGAAAAAUUUAACUAAAAAAUUGAAGCUAAAUAACUAUAAUUAACUACUAGA